AGAAGGUCUGACCCCAUGACCCACAGGAGCACAUGAUCCCUUUCAACAAUCUAUCCUCAUACAACAAAAAAUUCUUCUUAAGGAUCAACCCAGAUGAGGGCACCAAGUGCACUGCUACUGUGGGUACAAGCUACAAGACGGGAAGAGUCGUCCAAAGAAAGGUGACGAGUAUGUGCUCCAGAGUCACCACCUUCCUCCAACAGCUCACCGAAUUUGAGUGGAUGACAUCAAACUAGUCCAGUAUGGACCCCCCCACCAGAGCAUCUCUGGAUUGGAGGCUCCAUCUUCGCCUCUCUGUCCACCUU